rnacentral:miRNA from 1 species
UCGAGUUUAAAUUAUGUUGAGUCUUU